UUUGUAUUUUGUUUCAGGUUCUUGAGUCAAUUAAUAGCACUUACUUGGUCUCACCCCAAACUGAUCAGAGCUUGCAACAAAUGUCUUCCCAAUUUACUGAUUCUUUAAGAUUGGAUUCUCUUGAGAAGAGCAGUGAAACCAAGGCACAUAAGCAGAAUGUUCAGACCUUGAUCGAUCAUGGGUUAGACGGACAAGUUUUAACGGCUGAGAAACCAAAUUCUGCUACCAAGUCCUCAAAAUCUGACACUCCAAUCCAUUCAGUCAAUCUCAAUGAAAUUACAAUAAACAAUUCCCCUGGUACAGGUUUGCCCGAGUCCUUUGUCUCAACUGGACACACCAAUGCACCCUCAGUGGGUAGGACUUCGGAGACCGCUCUUCUAGAUGAAAGGUUAUUGUUGGCUUGGAUGGUUCGGACAAUACCAGCUGGUGGUAGAAUUAGGAUCAGUUCGACGGCUUGGGAAGAUGCUUGCACCUUUAGACUGGCAUGAUUACAAGAAAAAGUAUGGAAAGCUAGAUGAUUUCGUUGCUGCUCAUACUGAAUUAUUUGUGAUUGAGGGGGACUAUAUUCAGCUGCGUGAAGGAGCUCAAGAGAUGAUAGCAGCUACAGCCGCUGUUGCCAGAGUUGCUGUUGCUGCAGCAACAUCAUCCCCUACUCUUCAUGUUUGCCUUAUGUGGCUGUUACUCCAGUGGCACAGACUCACCGCUUAAAGAAGAUAUCAUCUCUUGAUUCCAAAAAUGUGGUUACUUCUACUCCAAAUGCAAAUAAUGCUCACUUGCAGUCUGUGAAGCAGAAUCAUCAAUUAAAUGGUGUCUCUUUUGGUGUUUCGGGAGGUAUGUCGAACGUAAAAAUUUUGAGCAAAUCCAAGGACAUGAAUGGGCCUGAACCUACUCCCAGCCAGUCAUCUGUACUUCUUAAUGGUGGAAAUGGAGCUCCUCUGGACAGAUCAAUGGCCAAUGGCCGACAUUUUCUUGGGAAACAGCAUGGCAGGAUGACUAAUUCUGCAUUUACCUCCAGAAGAUAGUAAGUAAAGACACUUAAAAUCGUAUUCUGUGAUGUAGUCCUUUAUCCUAUUAAUUGCCACUUCGAAUGCAUCUCUUGAUUAUUUUGGUGCUGGCAGGACUUCAGGAGCAGUCACAGCAUCUUUUGCCCCGAAAGUGUACUAGUGUGCGGAUUAGAGGCUUAUUUUGGGAAGUUAUACUAGAUGUGGGGAAAUUAUGUUGUGAUGAUUGAAUCUGUUUCAUCAAUAUUUGCAUCUCAUGGGAUUCGCAGAUUGGAUUUGUGUUUGCCUCUUUUUUUUUUUUUUUGGUUUAAAAGCUUUAGUUUUUGCUGUGUUUUAUCAUAGUCAAGACUCCACAGCCAACUGUCUGAAGUGAUAUACAAGCACAAAACGUCUUCUGUUCA